GGAGGAAAAGAAACCAACAGGGAUUGCCUCAGUAACGGCGAGUGAAGCGGCAACAGCUCAAAUUUGAAAUCUGGAGCCUUCGGCUUCCGAGUUGUAAUUUGAAGAGGAUGUUUCGGUGCGACCUGGGCCUAAGUUCCUUGGAACAGGACGUCAUGGAGGGUGAGAAUCCCGUACAUGGCUGCAGGUUUGCUUCUAUGUGAAACUCCUUCGAAGAGUCGAGUUGUUUGGGAAUGCAGCUCAAAAUGGGUGGUAAAUUUCAUCUAAAGCUAAAUAUUGGCGGGAGACCGAUAGCGCACAAGUAGAGUGAUCGAAAGAUGAAAAGCACUUUGAAAAGAGAGUUAAACAGUACGUGAAAUUGUUGAAAGGGAAGCGCUUGCAAUCAGACUCGCCUUCAGUUGAUCAGCCUUCCUUCUGGUUGGUGCACUCUGCUGUUGGCGGGCCAGCAUCAGUUGGGGCGGUGGGAUAAAGGCAGCGGGAAUGUGGCUCCUCUCGGGGAGUGUUAUAGCCUGUUGUGUCAUGCCACCAGUCCCGACUGAGGUCCGCGGUUCGCCUAGGAUGCUGGCUUAAUGGUUGUAAGCGACCCGUCUUGAAACACGGACCAAGGAGUCUAACAUCUAUGCGAGUCUUUGGGUGUAAAACCCAUGGGCGAAAUGAAAGUGAACGGAGGUGGGAGUCUUCGGAUGCACCAUCGACCGAUCCUGAUGUUCUCGGAUGGAUUUGAGUAUGAGCAUAGCUGUUGGGACCCGAAAGAUGGUGAACUAUGCCUGAAUAGGGUGAAGCCAGAGGAAACUCUGGUGGAGGCUCGCAGCGGUUCUGACGUGCAAAUCGAUCGUCAAAUUUGGGUAUAGGGGCGAAAGACUAAUCGAACCAUCUAGUAGCUGGUUCCUGCCGAAG
rnacentral:rRNA from 1 species